rnacentral:rRNA from 1 species
UGAGUAACACGUGGGUAACCUGCCUGUAAGACUGGGAUAACUCCGGGAAACCGGGGCUAAUACCGGAUGCUUGUUUGAACCGCAUGGUUCAAACAUAAAAGGUGGCUUCGGCUACCACUUACAGAUGGACCCGCGGCGCAUUAGCUAGUUGGUGAGGUAAUGGCUCACCAAGGCAACGAUGCGUAGCCGACCUGAGAGGGUGAUCGGCCACACUGGGACUGAGACACGGCCCAGACUCCUACGGGAGGCAGCAGUAGGGAAUCUUCCGCAAUGGACGAAAGUCUGACGGAGCAACGCCGCGUGAGUGAUGAAGGUUUUCGGAUCGUAAAGCUCUGUUGUUAGGGAAGAACAAGUACCGUUCGAAUAGGGCGGUACCUUGACGGUACCUAACCAGAAAGCCACGGCUAACUACGUGCCAGCAGCCGCGGUAAUACGUAGGUGGCAAGCGUUGUCCGGAAUUAUUGGGCGUAAAGGGCUCGCAGGCGGUUCCUUAAGUCUGAUGUGAAAGCCCCCGGCUCAACCGGGGAGGGUCAUUGGAAACUGGGGAACUUGAGUGCAGAAGAGGAGAGUGGAAUUCCACGUGUAGCGGUGAAAUGCGUAGAGAUGUGGAGGAACACCAGUGGCGAAGGCGACUCUCUGGUCUGUAACUGACGCUGAGGAGCGAAAGCGUGGGGAGCGAACAGGAUUAGAUACCCUGGUAGUCCACGCCGUAAACGAUGAGUGCUAAGUGUUAGGGGUUUUCCGCCCCUUAUGCUGCAGCUAACCAUUAUGCACUCCGCCUGGGCAGUACGGUCGCGAC